rnacentral:rRNA from 1 species
UACAGAGGUCCCGAGCGUUGUCCGGAAUCAUUGGGCGUAAAGCGCGUGUAGGCGGCCCGGUAAGUCCGCUGUGAAAGUCCAGGGCUCAACCCUGGGAUGCCGGUGGAUACUGUCGGGCUCGAGUCCGGAAGAGGCGAGUGGAAUUCCUGGUGUAGCGGUGAAAUGCGCAGAUAUCAGGAGGAACACCAAUGGCGAAGGCAGCUCGCUGGGACGUGACUGACGCUGAGACGCGAAAGCGUGGGGAGCAAACAGG